UUCAUUUAUAAAGUACAAUUACUUAUCCUCGGCGCGGCGAACCUUGAUCCCUAUGACACUGACAGCUAAUGUCACGAUAUAACAUUGUAGUGGCGUCACCAUUAAAUUGGGAUCAUAUUGGGGGCGUCUAAAAAUGCCAUUUAUAAAUUUUACGUAGCUUUAUACCAUUAGAAAUGAUAUUCCGUUGAUAUUUUUAACAAUUCUUAACAUUUACAAGAAGUUAUCUCAAUCUGAAUUUAUGUUUACGUCCUGCAAAACUUACGUCGUGUGACCAUUAUCGACUAGGGCGGCAAGUAUCGAUAUCGGCAAGAGCGAUCGCGCGCGUCGCGUCGUAGUAACCGACCAAAUAGUGUGGCUAUAUCUAAAAAUAUCCUAUAAUAUUAUUAUAAAAAAAAAAUUUGUGAAAAUUUUUUGCUUUUAGCGCUGCUACUUUGCCAGUGAACUCUAUAUAAGGGACACUACACACUCUAAAGUUUUAUCACUUACUUUUGUUACACUCUGUAUUUUAUUCUGAAUCUGAUAAUGACAUGA